GGGCCCGCACAAGCAGUGGAGCAUGUGGUUUAAUUCGACGCGACCCGAAGAACCUUACCAGGUCUUGACAUCUACCUAAUCCUGUAGAGAUAUGGGAGUGCCUUUCGGGGAAAGGUAAGACAGGUGGUGCAUGGUUGUCGUCAGCUCGUGUCGUGAGAUGUUGGGUUAAGUCCCGCAACGAGCGCAACCCUUGAUGUUGGUUGCCAGCAGGUAAAGCUGGGCACUCCAGCGUGACUGCCGUAGAGAAUACGGAGGAAGGCGGGGAUGACGUCAAAUCAUCAUGCCCUUUAUGACCUGGGCUACACACGUGCUACAAUGGGGUGAACAACGGGAAGCAAACCUGCGAAGGUAAGCGGAACCCUGAAAACACCUCUCAGUUCGGAUUGUAGGCUGCAACCCGCCUGCAUGAAGUCGGAAUUGCUAGUAAUCGCGGAUCAAUCAAGCCG
rnacentral:rRNA from 1 species